GAGUUUGAUCCUGGCUCAGAUUGAACGCUGGCGGCAUGCCUUACACAUGCAAGUCGAACGGCAGCACGGGAGCUUGCUCCUGGUGGCGAGUGGCGAACGGGUGAGUAAUGCAUCGGAACGUAUCCUGGAGUGGGGGAUAACGUAGCGAAAGUUACGCUAAUACCGCAUAUUCUGUGAGCAGGAAAGCGGGGGACCUUCGGGCCUCGCGCUCUUGGAGCGGCCGAUGUCGGAUUAGCUAGUUGGUGAGGUAAAGGCUCACCAAGGCGACGAUCCGUAGCAGGUCUGAGAGGAUGAUCUGCCACACUGGAACUGAGACACGGUCCAGACUCCUACGGGAGGCAGCAGUGGGAAUUUGGACAAUGGGGGCAACCCUGAUCCAGCCAUGCCGCGUGAGUGAAGAAGGCCGUGGU
rnacentral:rRNA from 1 species